rnacentral:rRNA from 1 species
UGUGGUAUUUUGACUAUACAAAGGUAUUGAAAUAAGAUUUUAAUUGAAUGCUAAGAGAAUGGAAUAUCAAAAAACAACUUUCUUAAAAUUAAAAAUUGAAAUUUUUUUAAUUUGUGUAAAAACAAUUAUAAAAAUUAAAGACAAGAAGACCCUAAGAAUUUUUAAAAUUUAAAUAAUACAUUUUUUGUUUUAAUUAAAUUUUAACUGGGGCGGUUAAAAAAUAUUAAAAACUUUUUAAUUUAAAAAUGACCCAUUAUUAAUGAAAAUAUGAUUAAAUACUCUAGGGAUAACAGCGUUAUAUUUUUUGAUAGAUCAUAUUGACAAAAAAGUUUGCGACCUCGGAUGUUGGAAUUAGGAUACUUUUUU